rnacentral:tRNA from 1 species
GGGAAUAUGGCUUAGUGGUAGAGUGUUUGCCUAGCAUGCAUGAAGCCUGGGUUCAACUCCUUAGUACCA